CUAAAAGUCAAUUUGACUCAUAAUGAUAGUAUCAAAACAUUUGCUGAUGCUGCCCGCCAUGUGGAACUAUAAGAUGAGCACCUUGGUACAACUAAAUCUCUAGGACAAGCUUUUGUAGCUGAAUCUAGUUCUGUGAAAACUUCAAGCUCUAAGCAUAAGAAGAAUUGGUUCAAAGGCCGGAAAGGGAAGGGAAAAGAAACUAGACAUGGACCUAAAAAGAACAAAUACAAGCGCAAUAAAAAAUGUAAAUGGUUUGGAAAGAAGAAAGAUAAGAACAAGCUGAAAUGCUUCAAUUGUCAGGUGCUGGGUCACUUUGCUCGGGAAUGCUCUGAGCCAAAGAAGGUAGCUCUUAUAAAUACUUCUUUUAGUGUCGUUUAUGUUUCAAGCACUGUUAUGCUAACUGAAUCUUAUCCUAUGUGGAUUGUAAACUUAGGAGCGACAGACCAUGUAACCAGGGAUCGAGAAGUGUUUGUGGAGUUUCAUCGAUUUUCAGCUGGUACAAAGUGGAUAUAUGUCGGCAACGAUGAUAGAGUGAAGGUGAAAGAAAUCUGUACAUGCAAGUUACAUUUGCAUGAUAGCCGUACUAUUCUCCUUCAUGAUGUCCUGUUUGCACCAGGGAUACGAAGGAACUUAAUUUCCAUUGUUGUUCUUUUAAGAUUAGGUUUCAGUUUGAAAUUUUGUGAUAAUUCUGUUCGUAUAAAAAAUCGUGAUGUAUUUUAUGAAUCUGGACAUGUAGAAGGUGGCUUUGUAGUGUUGGAUUGUGAUCCAAAAACUUAUAAUUAUUAUGUUGAUCGU
rnacentral:lncRNA from 1 species